rnacentral:lncRNA from 1 species
AAUAGGGUGACCCUUUUUGAGCCAAAGGUUCAGGCCUAACAAUUUUGAAGAAAAUAUAUGCUUUCUUAAAGUCAAUACAUUAUCCCCCAACUUAUAUAAACACGAAAAGGGAAUAAAUGCCUACAAAAUAUAAUGAAAGAGGAAUACAAUCUUUAGGGAAAAAAAGGGAAAAAACAUGAAAGAGGAUAAGUUCCUGCACAGGGGAAAUAGAUAAACUAGCUACUGGAGGCCCCUUCGUCUGCCUUUGCCUUCUUUGCCUCGUCCACUUCUUUUAUUGGUGACAUCUAUUGACGUUCAAACUGUGCCUUAGAUGCAAUCUCCCAAAUCGAUCAAUUUCUUGCUUAUCUUGCUUCAAUUCUUCUUACAAAAGUAAACAAAUCAAGCUUUUUCCCGACACCUAAAGGAUAAUGGAUUAAAUUUAGACAAGCAUGUAUUUUUUUCAAUACAUAAAUAUGAUUCGUCUGUAAUUAACUCGAGGUUAAUAGAUGCAGGGCAGGUUUUCUAAUGGGCCCAAUACCCCGCUCGGGUAAUGGGUUGUCCUAGGCUCAUGCCUAAAAUAGGAUUUUGGUUUCGUUCUAUCCUUGGUGUCUAGAGUGGGUUUGAACACCAGUUCUCAAGCGGACAACUUGAGUUUGGAAAUACAAACAGCCAUCAGACAACUCACGCGCUUAUAAACUGUUUGUAUUUCCAACACAGUUUUGGAAUUGAUCAAUAGGGGUUAGGAUACCCACGAAACCCCAAAACAAUUUAAAUAAUGUAGGAAUAUGCCAUAAGAUGCGAUAGUUAAACUUUACAAAAUCAAAACAUAUAAACACAUAAACAGUUAAUCAAAUAAAGAAAUCAAACAAUUGGUUAGAACCUAUUUCAAAAAUCCCCAGCAGAGUCGCCAUUUCUGUUUUGCGGAGAAAUUGACUUUUUGAGAAGAGUCGCCACUUAAUUUUGAAAAGGAAUUAAGAAACCUUUAUAAAGUACUUCAAACGAUUCAAAAUAGGAAAAUCAUUUUAAGUUAGAGAUUCUAGAUAAGCGGUAAUUCUUAACGUUUUAGGAAGGUGUUAGACACCUAAAACGUCCGCUAACUUGCGGUUAUCCGAACUGUUUGAAAACAUCUUUGAUUAACUUUCUAAAAUUUGAUUUAUUGAAAAAUGGUUGAAUUUUAGAAAUACUUUGAAAGUUUGCAAAAGUUAAUUUUUAGUGAAUUCAGUACGGGAUUUGACUAGGUUCGCAAAAAGGCAUGCAAAACAAAUAAUCAAAAAGAAAGGGGAAGGGAGGAGAAGUAGUGAUUUAGGCUUUGAAGCCCAAAUCGCUAAACCUGUCCUAAUCUAGUUGGGUUUUCAAUCCAUUUCUCUUUUCAGUUGUCUUAAUUCUAUGUUUUUGAGCCUUUAGCUCGAGUUUUGCCUCCAGCUGUAUUAAAUACUACUUUGACUUCGAGGCCCGAAUGAAUAAAUGAGAAAAUAGAUAAAUAAAUAAACAAAGACGACGAAAUAACAAAUGAAAUUUUUGGGUCUGGUAGCUACUUCAAAUGGGUUUAAUCCUUCUUAUUUUUUUCUUUGACUCCUUGUGAUCGUACUAAUGGGCGUUCAAAGUCUUCUAAACUGGUGGGCCUCAACGGCCCAUUGCAAAAAUAUGGAAGGAAGGAGUCCAUUAAGACUCAGAGAAUAAAUUCACAUGCAACAGGGAAAAAAGAGGAAAUUAACACAUAUCUGGAAUGCAAAGACAGAAGUAAAGAACUUAACCUAUGUUCGAAAGCUGACACCUAAUGAAUGACUAACUAAAAAAGACAUGGGACGGCAUUAUGGCAUAUAAUAAAAUUCACAUUAGUCUAAUCUCUAUGUUUUCAUUUGAGAACAACUAAUAUGUUGCUAUGAGAAUCUUUUGGCGACCUCAGAUGCUACAAGAAAUAUGUCGUUCCAAGGUUCAGGAAGCUAAAGAAAAAUAGAACCAUAUAGUUCACUCCACGUCUUUAGUAAAUGAAGCAAACAACUUGUAAUUCAAACAUUACACAAGAAAAGUCCGCAUAAAGUAAGAAUAAAAUAUGAAUGAAUCAAUUCGACAAGGAUUGUACAUGGAUCGAAUCUCACUAGGCUAGCAUGUGAAUUACUAGAAAUAAACAAGCGUGUUAUUCCAGAAAUAGGGGAGAAGAGAACAAUGAUAACCAAACUCACAAGUGUAUCCCAGGGAGGUAAACCAAUUGGGUGUCAUACUUUUUUGGAGUUAAAAAAAAAACUUGCUUAACUAAAAUUUACACAUUUUUAUUUAUGCAUUGUACAAACAUGACAACAAAAUUCUCAGAAAGGACUAAAUCAGACUGCUAGAUGAGAUACGUGAGACAAAUCAAGUUUUGACAGACAACGGCCUUAAUUCCAAACCCCAGAAGAUUUUCGAACAUAUUACUUAGGUGGAAAAAUUAAAAUAUAGGAGUUUAGACAUCACGGAAGAAUGAAAAGAACUUCUAUUAUCAAAACAUUCACUGGAUAUUCAAUUUAUUAAAGGAUAUCACAUUCUUGAGAAAAGAAAUCAGAGAAAGGAAAACUACUCAAAAUGGACAUUUUAAAGGAUCAUCUUGACAUCUUUGGAGGGUAAACCUACCUCUUCUUUUGACAUUAGCCAUUAAAGACAACAUGAUGAAGAGUUUAUCUUGUUGAAACAAUGAAAACACAGGAUGGACCAAACAUGCGUAAGACUCCAAACAUUUUCUACAAAAGAAAAAUCAAAGAGGACAUGAAAUCUGCACUGCCAGGCCACGAUAUCGAAUGGAUAACUACUAACGGUACAUGAACAAAAUUGUAUCAAGGAAAGACCAAACAACUAGGAAUGACACAACAUCAAAAACGUAAAUUGCCAACUUCCAUCAAUAUGCAGUUUUCUAACCCAUAUAGUCAAACAAAUAGGGACAUAAAACUCAACCCAACAGGUUUUGAUUAAAAUUUAAACAUGCAGUCAAUAAACAUUCUUUUCUUCCUUAGCCGACACAGCUCACAUAUAAUACAAAAUACAGCUGAAAUUACUUGAAUAUCACAACGUGAACAUCAUCACAACCAAACCUAUGGCCUUCAGGGCCUCUAAAAUAUUCAAAACCCAGCCUUAUUCAUGAUUGUCACUAAACAAUUAAACUAAUUCUAUAGAGGGAAAAUAAGGGAUGAAGCAGAAAGUGACGAAGCUAAAAGAACAAGAGUAUGCUCACCUCUUCGGGUGCAGCAAAACAGGGACCCGAGCUAUCAGCCGAAUUUGUCACCACUAGGAAACAAUCCUUCGGGGACUCUAACCCAAAUUGUCAGCUUCAAAAUUUUCUAGCUAAAUCGACAGCUUCAAAGUUUCCAUUUUUACUCAACUAAAAAAAGACUUUUACUGAUUUUUUGCCCUAAAUCGAUUUUCCCCCUUCAAGACCUUAAUGGUGAAUUUUUCGCUCUUUUACGACUUCCCUUAAAAUUUUGAAACCCCCUAAAAGAAUGAAAACCAAAAAAAAAAUCCUCCUGGAGAAAGGAAGAACCCCUUUAUCGACCAAAAACUUCAAACCCUAGAGAAUAUCGUGACCUCCCAUUCUUCUCCCCUCUUGAACAAAGAACGAAGGUCCUCUUAUAUAGAGGACAAAAUUGGGGCCUUCCAUAUUUGAAAUAAGGAAACCCUCAGAUCUCAAAUUCCCCAAAAUAUUCUCCUCCCAACCCCGUCUCUUAUCCUUGAUCGUAUCCUUUUGGAUUUUUCUGAGAAAUUUGUGACGGGUGGACCAAUAGGGUUUGGGAAAAAUUCAUCCUUUUCAAGAACCAAUGGAAAGUGUACCAAUAUAUACGAAAUAGUACCAUUCCAACCGAGAAACGCGGUAUUGAGCCAUGGGAGAGGCCACCUAACCUUGUUUCUAGAAGAUUUGAGGCUUCUCCUCGUACAAAUGUUGCGUGAAAUGCGUGUGCAGAGAGAAAAAAUACUGAUGGGCUAGGGUUGAGUCGAUUCGAAAACGGGUUGGAGGCGGAUUAAGGGUCGGGUUUGCUAUGAGUUGUUC